rnacentral:lncRNA from 1 species
UUUUUUAUAUAACUGAAAUAUGAAAUAGAGAACAAACUGAACUUCGACCUGGCUAUGUUGAGGACCCUGCCAAUGGGGGCAGAUACGUUGGCAAUUGACUGUCCUGAAGGACUCACCGCAAGAAGAUUAGUCGGUGUUGAUGACCCUGCCACAGGGAACAUGUGGUCAUAGUCCAGGAUCGACAAGAUGAAUUGAAUAUGUGAAGAAAUCUUGAAACCGCGAAAAGAAUCUUAUAAAUUUAAGAAAUAUUUGACUUAUACUUUGGAACUGCAUAUUUAUUUAUUUUUCACAUAUUAUUGCUUGAUUUAUCUAGCUAGAGUGUUCAUUAUUUACUGGGCUGUUUAGCUCAUUAUACCAUCUCUUGUUGUUUUACAGAUUUCGAGAACUAGUCUAUUGGGGAUUCAAAAUGGGAGAGCGACUAGAAGGAUUGU